rnacentral:rRNA from 1 species
UACGUAGGGUGCAAGCGUUAAUCGGAAUUACUGGGCGUAAGCGUGCGCAGGCGGUUUUGUAAGUUUGUCGUGAAAGCCCCGGGCCUCAACUGGGAACUGCAUCUGUGACUGCAUCGCUGGAGUGCGGCAGAGGGGGAUGGAAUUCCGCGUGUAGCAGUGAAAUGCGUAGAUAUGCGGAGGAACACCGGUGGCGAAGGCGGUGGUCUGGGCCGGCACUGACGCUGAGGAGCGAAAGCGUGGGGAGCAAACAGG